GGAUGGGACCUGCGAUGCAUUAGUCUAGUUGGUAAGGUAACGGGCUUACCAAGGCGAUGAUGCAUAGCCCGAGUUGAGAGACUGAUCGGGCCACAUUGGGGACUGAGACACGGGCCCAAACUCCUACGGGAGGCAGCAGUAGGGAAUCUUCCACAAUGGACGAAAGUCUGAUGGAGCAAACGCCGCGUGAGUGAAGAAGGUUUUCGGGAUCGUAAAGCUCUGUUGUUGGUGAAGAAGGAUAGAGGUAGUAACUGGCCCUUUAUUUGACGGUAAUCAACCAGAAAGUCACGGGCUAACUACGUGCCAGCAGCCGCGGUAAAU
rnacentral:rRNA from 1 species